rnacentral:rRNA from 1 species
CAAAUGACUCUCGGCAAUGGAUAUCUCGGCUCUUGCAUCGAUGAAGAACGUAGUGAAAUGCGAUACUUGGUGUGAAUUGCAGAAUCUCGUGAACCAUUGAGUCUUUGAACGCAAGUUGUGCCCGAGGCCUUUUGGUCGAGGGCACGCCUGCUUGGGCGUCAUGA